CUGAUUUCAUUUCUUUCAAAUUAUGUUAACCAGUUUUACUCUACCUAAUUAAAAUCUAUUGAAAUAAAAAAAAAUCAUUUGUACUUUAAAAAAAUGCAAAAUUCACCGCAAACUAAUUUUCAUGCAUUGAUUGCACAAAGUACAUGUAAUUAUUUUUAAUAUUUUGCUUUUUUUCUCUUGUUUUAGCUGUAAUAUUUUAAUCUGUUCUGCUGCAGCAUUUAGAUUACUGUAUUUUAAUGUUGAAACUAUUUUUAUGUUUAUAUGUAUUUUAGAAAGAAAUAAACGUGUAACAUUUCAUUUAACAUUAAAAGUUUUGAGUUUUCCUUUAGUGUAUGUUGUGCCUGAUCCUUGAACCCAGUAGAUGGUGGUACUACAGCUAUACUGGUUGUAGCCACUGUGGUUCCUGUAACUGAUGGGUUGCCGGUUCAAACUUCCCACAUGUAACCCAGGUGUCCGCCAUGACCCAAUCACCUUCCCUUUAAGUUGAUUGUCAUGUGUGCUUCCGGGUUUUGUUUUUUCUUCCCCACCUUGCUGCUACUCACUGUUGGUUGUUUGUAAAACAACCUGGAGUUUCUGAAUCGACUCAUCACUCAUUUAAUCUCUAAAACUUGAAGAUUGCGGUUGUGAUCCAUUGACAGCUGGUGAACCUUCUUGAUCUGAGCAAGUUAUCAUUGCAUCCACCUCAUCAGAUAAUCCGUUACUCGACGGUCAGGUUUUUCCCCCUUCCCCUUGCAUUGACUCACUUGAUGACGGAAGAUGGCGAGCUACCCACCGACCAUCUGGUGGUAGGAAAACGGAACUACACUUUCCCUACAGAAACGAACUAAACUCUUGAGUAUUGAAAAGGGAACAUAAUUAUUCUCUUUUUGUUCUUGGAUCUAUUGUGGACUCUAUUACGUUUGAAGUAUCAAUGAUUAUUAUUAUAAUUGUUUUUGUUGGUUUGUUUUU